CAAGGGCUGACUGUAGCUGGGGGAAGACAGUUCACUCAUUUGCGCUCUCCUUUCAUACAGUCAGCUGGCCCUCUUCUCAGGUGUAGAUCACCUAUUAUCAGUUCACCUGUUUUGAUUCUCUGAUGAGGAAAAUCCCGGGACUUAUCAGCCGGGAUAGGCCUCAUUUACAAGACAGCUCUGUUCAGUGUUUGGAAGAAAGCCUGACAGGUUUCUCCGGAAAAGUGGCCAUCCAUGGAAUGAAUGAAAUGUUCCCUUUCUAUUCCACGCGGGUCCAAGCCUGUAGUCCCAAAUCGGAUAUCUCUGCAGCUGAUAACAAGCAAAAGAGAAGCCAGGCAACAGCCAUAUUAAAGAAGAAAACAAUCAACUCUGAGAUUGACAUGUAAUGGCCAGGACCAUCGGAGGCUGCUCCCAACAAAGUCAUUCUGGUAGCUGGAGUUCUCUAGAAAUCAACGGGCCUGAAUUACCCAUGAUUUUUCUCUGCCCUUCAAAGGAAAAUGUGUUGUUCUAAUGCUCUUUUGGCUUUUGUGAAACGUUUUUUUUUUUUUUUUUUGGUUACAUUGUUUUAAAUUCUAAGUUUAGAUGAAAUAGGGACUUCUAUAGGAUAAUCAUACCUACAAAGAGUUUUCAAAGCCAACCAGUCCUUAAAAUUUACUUAGAAAUUGUUAAAAAGAUUUGUGGCAUUUAAAUAAAUAUUGGGAUGUCAUAAGAUUUAAAAAAUUGAGAACACUUCGGCGUCAGUGAUGAACAAGGGAACUUAAUAGAGGCAAGAACACAACUUUCUAUACUUUUUCAUGUUUUCAAACACUAAAAUAAAAUUCUCAUUUUAAGUUAUUUUUGAAACCUCUUUUCCUUUUUCUUAUCAGUGAAUAAUAUACCUGAAUUUAUAUAUAAGCAUGUGACUUAUGGAUCAUGUUACCACCAAGCCAAGUAAAUAUGUGUGAAAGUAAACUUUAGUAUGGUGUCUUUUGUUGACAG
rnacentral:lncRNA from 1 species